GACCUAUAGUUUAAUUUCCAGUGUCUAGAUGUAAUAGUCUGGAUAUAAACAGAAUCAUCUGGAACUGAUUUUUUUUCACACUUAACACUUCUUUCAGAUCCUGGUUUCCAGGAGGCUCCUUCCUCCAGCCACACCUCCAGAUGAAAAUCCCUUAAUUAACCAAGAAAGAUUGAACCGUGUUUAAUUGCUUUUCUAAACAAUCAUGUCUGCUGGAUUCACUUAUGUUGAGAAUUGACUAGCCAAUUGCAAACCACAGAGUCAUUCUCUUGGACCCUCUGCACAGUCUCUUCUUCCCCCAAAUAGGGUCUUACUAAGGACCAUUUGCUCCUCUUCUGGCUGCAGCAGCGUAGCUGUCACUGGAGUGUGUGGCCUUUAUAACCGUUUGCGUUUUUCCUGCCCCAUGAUGCUGACUGAUCCAGCCCUCUCCGGGGCACAGUGCACAGACCGUAAUGUGCACUGGAAAACUCUGGUUUCUCUUGCAGGCUGCUCUUAUGCACAUGCUUUCCCUUCAAACAGGAUAAGCGACUAGAAUGAAAUCAGGUUAUUGACUGAAUUAUGUUUCAAAGAAAAAUAAUCUUGCUCGUUGGAUUCACAUCCAGGAGUAAGUCAUCCUUCUUAGGUGUGAGAUGGAACUCUAUUUUCCUUGGAGAACCCCAAGGCUGUGGGCCCUGGGAGGGAAUUGGUGAGCCGAGGCGUAUCUAUUGGUUGUACUGGGAAGCACAAGUCUGCAGAGCAAGGCCAAGAUGAAGAAUUUGAAGAAUCUCUGCAGUCGGAUAGUUCAGCUCGAACUCAUGUGCUUAUUUAUUUAUUUAUUUAUUUAUUUAUUUGUCUUUUUUUUUUGCCAUUUCUGCGGCCGCUCUCACGGCAUAUGGAGGUUCCCAGGCUAGUGGUCCAAUUGGAGCCAUAGCCACCGGCCUACGCCAGAGCCACACCAACGUGGCAUCCGAGCCGCGUCUGCCACCUACACCACAGCUCACGGCAACACUGGAUCCUUAACCCACUGAGCAAUGCCAGGGAUCAAACCCGCAACCUCAUGGUUCCUAGCCAGGUUCGUUAACCACUGAGCCACCAUGGGAACUCCAAAAUCAUGUGCUUAUUAAGGACAAAACUGCUUUCCCACCUGCUCUUCAGGUGUGUAGACAGAUACGGAGGAGAAAGGUAAAAGCAGAUGUGGUAUGAAGGCUUGGUGUGUGUGAGCACUGAUGAUAGGGUUUAGUUUAGUUUAUCACGGACAGGAAUCGUGAUCUCUGUGCCAUACCUAUCCCCCAGUUCUACCUCUAUCCUACCUGAGCUAGUCUGAAUCCAAAGGACUGUCGCAGAGAUCUCAAAACGACGCUGCCAGCUCUUCUUCAGCAAAACUUGUCCUUUUAUCGACUCUCUCUCAAAGUUUACUAAUUCAAACUAACUUAUUCCAACUAAAAUCAAGUAUUAAAUUCUGCCAUUCUCUCCUCCCAUCCCACAUUUUAAUUAUACAAGCACCCUCACAGGAGAUAGUAAACCUUAAAUAUUUUAACAUUUUUCCCAGCAGGGAGACCGCGGCACAUAAAGCAACCGCAAUUAUACUAAAAGAUUUAUUUGUCUCUGACCCGGGAAGCCAUGCAUCAGUGCUCUAAGACGAUAAAGUCGGCCCUUCCCACCCUGAGGGAGCUAAUGAAUUAGCAUAAAUAUCUAUGAGUAGGUUAAGUAUAUGCAGAUAUAACAGGUGUGACAACCUAAGGAACUUUUAAACAGUUAACAAGGAUUUAAAAACACACCUAUCAGAUAUUUUAGAAAAUAUUUGCUUGUAAAUUUAGAAUUGGGCUCAAAUUUUUUGAGCAACUGAAAGAACAGCUAAGUCCAUUGCCAGAUUUAUUCACAAGAUAUUUUCCAUUUGGUCAUACUUAUUUAGAAAUUGUUGUUAUUUUGGAUAUAAACUGGCUAAAAUUUACCUUUUCACUGUUUGGAAAAAUUAUUUGAAGACAAAAAGAGUAAUGUAAAAAGUAUGAAAAGACUGAUUCUUUUUUUAUACCUUUAAAAAAUUGAGAUACAUUGGUUUAUAAUGUUAUAUACUCUAUGUAUACAUUCUGUUUCUACUUUUGUAUACACUGCAUUGUGCUCACUCCCCAGAAUUUGGUUUCCAUCUGUUACCAUACUAAAAAGAUGAUUUAUUUUUUUUUAGGGCCUCACCCACAGCAUAAGGAAGUUCCCAUGCUAGGGGCUGGCCUCUGUGACCUACACCACAGCUCAUGGAUCCUUAACCCACUGAGUAACGGCAGGGAUCGAACCCUCAUCUUCAUGGAUUCUAGUCGGGUUCAUUUAUGCUGCAGCACAAGGGGAACUCCAAGACUGAUUCUUUUUUCUUUUGCCUUUUCCUCCACACCUGCGGCCACGUGGAGGUUCCCAGGUUCCCAGGGGUGGAAUUGGAGCUGUAGCCACCAGCCGACACCACACCACAGCAACUCGGGAUCCGAGCCUUGCCUGCCACCUACACCACAGCUCACAGCAACGUCAGAUCCCCAAUGCACUGAGUGAGGCCAGGGACUGAGCCUGCGUCCUCUUGGAUGCUAUUUGGGUUCGAUGUCCACUGAGCCACCUUUGAUUAGCGCAGUUUGAAUUACUGUCUUUCGUACUUGAGAUAAACUGAACUACUUUAAAAAUUCAAAUCUGUAAUUAAUUCAGAGUUUUCAUCCUGUAAUUAAAACUAGUAAGUGUUGAAGUUCCCGUCGUGGCGCAGCGGAAACGAAUCGACUGGGAACCAUGAGGUUGAGGGUUCCAUCCCUGGCCUUGCUCAGCAGGUUAAGGAACGGCCUUGCCGUGAGCUAUGGUGUAGGUCGCAGAUGCGGCUCGGAUCUGGCGUGGCUGUGGCUGUAGGCUGGCGGCUACAGGUCUGAUUUGACCCCUAGCCUGGGAACCUCCAUAUGCCAGGUGGGGGAGUGGGGGCUAAAAAGACAAAAGACAAAAAAAACCCCAAAAACUAGUAAGUGUUGGGGUCUAUAAACUGGAGAGAGAACACUAAAUGGAGGACAGAAAACACCACGCCAUCAAGAUCCCACCCAGGCUCCAGACACCAUGUCAGCGGAGCAAACCAACAGGAAAAACAGAUGCCAGCAGGAUGAAGGCUCCAGGACCAAGAUAAGUUAAGGAGCUGUUGAAACCUCAAAAUGAACAGAGCCAAAAAGACUAUUGAAACUCACACCUAAGACCUAAAUCCUCCCUCUGCGUUUCUCAAGCCUCCUUCCCCAUUCCCCCUGAGCCUGUGUGAUCCAUCCCACGAAACCCUAGCUAUAAAAAAGCCCUUGCCCCAAUAGCGGGGAGCCUGAGUUCUCCCUGCUCAGUGCUCCCGGCCACUGUGUUGGUCCAUAAACCUGCUUGUGAUCUCAGUGCUGCAGCCUCUGUUUCUCUCGACUCUGCCAUCCUAACAGUAAGAUUAUGUAUUAAAUUUAGAUAUUGUUCUGGUGACAAAAGCUUUGAAUCUUCUUCAGGGUUUUCUUUUUUUUUCCCUCCCAACCCUGUAUGUUCUGUCCUCCCUCUAUGAAGCUUUGUAGUUGUUAGGAAUUUUAAAAAGCAAAUUCAUGAAACCUGUCUCCUGCUGGGUGUUUAUGAAAUAAAAGCAGAUAUAAAGGAGGGAAAAAAAUAAAGACAAUAACUUGUGGAGCUUUUUGGUGGCUGUGUGGAUUAAGGAUCUGACAUUUGUCACUGAUGUGGUGUGGGUUUGAUCCCUGGCCAGGGAAAUGCUGCAUGCCUUGGAUGUGGCCC
rnacentral:lncRNA from 1 species